AAAUUGAAGAGUUUGAUCAUGGCUCAGAUUGAACGCUGGCGGCAGGCCUAACACAUGCAAGUCGAACGGUAACAGGAAUCAGCUUGCUGAUUCGCUGACGAGUGGCGGACGGGUGAGUAAUGUCUGGGAAACUGCCUGAUGGAGGGGGAUAACUACUGGAAACGGUAGCUAAUACCGCAUAAUGUCGCAAGACCAAAGAGGGGGACCUUCGGGCCUCUUGCCAUCGGAUGUGCCCAGAUGGGAUUAGCUAGUAGGUGGGGUAACGGCUCACCUAGGCGACGAUCCCUAGCUGGUCUGAGAGGAUGACCAGCCACACUGGAACUGAGACACGGUCCAGACUCCUACGGGAGGCAGCAGUGGGGAAUAUUGCACAAUGGGCGCAAGCCUGAUGCAGCCAUGCCGCGUGUAUGAAGAAGGCCUUCGGGUUGUAAAGUACUUUCAGCGGGGAGGAAGGGAGUAAAGU
rnacentral:rRNA from 1 species